GGUUUAAUUCGAAGCAACGCGAAGAACCUUACCAAGUCUUGACAUCCCGGUGACCGGACAGUAAUGUGUCCUUUUCUUCGGAACACCGGUGACAGGUGGUGCAUGGUUGUCGUCAGCUCGUGUCGUGAGAUGUUGGGUUAAGUCCCGCAACGAGCGCAACCCUUAUCCCCAGUAGCCAGCGGUUCGGCCGGGCACUCUGAGGAGACUGCCAGGGAUAACCUGGA
rnacentral:rRNA from 1 species